ACUCCUCCAGAUGAUGAUGACGAUGGAAUGUUCGUAACAUUCUCUGAAUUAGGGAUGUAUGUAGGCAUGUACCCUGAGUUCAUAGGUGGUGGUGGUGGCUGCAUCGGUGGAGGAUAGUAAGGUUGUUGCAUUUGUGGGUUGGUGUUGGUCAUUGGAGGGUUAGGCAUUGAUGAGUGGUGGUUAUAUGAUGGGGGAACUGAGAAUGGGUUUGACUGGUCCAUUGGAGCAAAUGGAUACUGCGAUGAACCAGCCAUGUAAUCCUGUCCUGAAGUGUUGUAAUCUGAGUUGUUCGAGAGCAUGACUCCUCCAAAAUCUCCUGCACAAAAGAAGAAGAGAAAGAUGGUGAGCGCUCUCCUUCAGACAAACCCAUCUUAAAAACGCUAAGAUCUCGAAAUCGGAUAUUCGGAAACCCAAAUUUAAGGUUCUUCAAGAAUUGAGUUACAGGAAAC